CGGGGUGUAGCUCAGCCUGGUUAGAGCGCAACGUUCGGGACGUUGAGGCCGGAGGUUCAAAUCCUCUCACCCCGACCA
rnacentral:tRNA from 4 species